rnacentral:rRNA from 1 species
AAGUCGAACGAUGAAGAGAGCUUGCUCUUGGAUUAGUGGCGAACGGGUGAGUAACACGUGAGUAACCUGCCCUUGACUCUGGGAUAAGCACUGGAAACGGUGUCUAAUACCGGAUACGAGCUUCAGCCGCAUGGCUAGGAGCUGGAAAGAAUUUUGGUCAAGGAUGGACUCGCGGCCUAUCAGCUAGUUGGUGAGGUAAUGGCCCACCAAGGCGACGACGGGUAGCCGGCCUGAGAGGGUGACCGGCCACACUGGGACUGAGACACGGCCCAGACUCCUACGGGAGGCAGCAGUGGGGAAUAUUGCACAAUGGGCGAAAGCCUGAUGCAGCAACGCCGCGUGAGGGACGACGGCCUUCGGGUUGUAAACCUCUUUUAGUAGGGAAGAAGCGAAAGUGACGGUACCUGCAGAAAAAGCACCGGCUAACUACGUGCCAGCAGCCGCGGUAAUACGUAGGGUGCAAGCGUUGUCCGGAAUUAUUGGGCGUAAAGAGCUCGUAGGCGGUUUGUCGCGUCUGCUGUGAAAACCCGAGGCUCAACCUCGGGCCUGCAGUGGGUACGGGCAGACUAGAGUGCGGUAGGGGAGAUUGGAAUUCCUGGUGUAGCGGUGGAAUGCGCAGAUAUCAGGAGGAACACCGAUGGCGAAGGCAGAUCUCUGGGCCGUUACUGACGCUGAGGAGCGAAAGCAUGGGGAGCGAACAGGAUUAGAUACCCUGGUAGUCCAUGCCGUAAACGUUGGGAACUAGAUGUAGGGGCCAUUCCACGGUUUCUGUGUCGCAGCUAACGCAUUAAGUUCCCCGCCUGGGGAGUACGGCCGCAAGGCUAAAACUCAAAGGAAUUGACGGGGGCCCGCACAAGCGGCGGAGCAUGCGGAUUAAUUCGAUGCAACGCGAAGAACCUUACCAAGACUUGACAUAUACGAGAACGGGCCAGAAAUGGUCAACUCUUUGGACACUCGUAAACAGGUGGUGCAUGGUUGUCGUCAGCUCGUGUCGUGAGAUGUUGGGUUAAGUCCCGCAACGAGCGCAACCCUCGUUCUAUGUUGCCAGCACGUUAUGGUGGGAACUCAUAGGAGACUGCCGGGGUCAACUCGGAGGAAGGUGGGGAUGACGUCAAAUCAUCAUGCCCCUUAUGUCUUGGGCUUCACGCAUGCUACAAUGGCCGAUACAAAGGGCUGCAAUACCGUAAGGUGGAGCGAAUCCCAAAAAGUCGGUCUCAGUUCGGAUUGAGGUCUGCAACUCGACCUCAUGAAGUCGGAGUCGCUAGUAAUCGCAGAUCAGCAACGCUGCGGUGAAUACGUUCCCGGGCCUUGUACACACCGCCCGUCAAGUCAUGAAAGUCGGUAACACCCGAAGCCAGUGGCCUAACCGCAAGGAAGG